AGCAGCCGCGGUAAUUCCAGCUCCAAUAGCGUAUAUUAAAGUUGUUGCAGUUAAAAAGCUCGUAGUUGAACUUCAGGCCUGUCCAGAUGGUCCGCCUUAAUUGGUGUGUACUGUCCUUGGGUGGGUCCUACCUUCUGGCGAAGCGGCAUGGCCUUAGUUGGUUGUGUCGGGGAAGCAGGACUUUUACUGUGAAAAAUUAGAGUGUUCAAAGCAGGCAUAUAUGCUCGAAUACAUUAGCAUGGAAUAAUGGAAUAGGACGAUGGUUCUAUUUUGUUGGUUCUAGGACCGUUGUAAUGAUUAAUAGGGAUAGUUGGGGGCAUUAGUAUUCAAUUGUCAGAGGUGAAAUUCUUGGAUUUAUUGAAGACUAACUACUGCGAAAGCAUUUGCCAAGGAUGUUUUCAUUAAUCAAGAACGAAAGUUAGGGGAUCGAAGACGAUCAGAUACCGUCGUAGUCUUAACCAUAAACUAUGCCGACUAGGAAUCGGGCGAUGUUGACAAAA
rnacentral:misc_RNA from 2 species